UUCACUUUAAUUCCUGUGGGGAAUAGUGACUAUACUGAAUUGAACUGACAAUUUCAUGGAGUUUUGAACACUAUACAUUAUUAUUAUUUUUUUUUUUUUUCUCUCCUUCUUUCUUCCUAUUGCUGUAUAUGGUUCUUGAGGUUAUGUACCUGAUGUUAUUAUGUGGUCAGUGUUUUCACUCUUGUUGUUGCUCUAGUGCUCAUUUUAUGUGUGUGUACGUGUUUGCGAAAGCAGCAGGGGGGAGUGUAACAGGGUUAAAAAGGUGUUUCCACUUGCUACACAUUUUCAUGUAUGGCCCCUUUAAUUGCACUCAACCUGUACACUCCACCCAUAGAAUGAACUGGUUCCGGUAGGGUCAUUUAGAUUCGCGUCAGCCGAGAGAGUGAAUGGCUGCGAACACACGAGGGUGAUUUGCGAAUCUGAUCACUGCUGUUUAAUGUUGCCAACAGAAUAAAAGCCUGUCUUCAAGCGCGA